AUUGAACGCUGGCGGCAGGCCUAACACAUGCAAGUCGAGCGGAUGAUGAGGGCUUGCUCUCUGAUUUAGCGGCGGACGGGUGAGUAAUGCCUAGGAAUCUGCCUGGUAGUGGGGGAUAACGUUCCGAAAGGAACGCUAAUACCUCAUACGUCCUACGGGAGAAAGCAGGGGACCUUCGGGCCUCGCCCUAUCAGAUGAGCCUAGGUCGGAUUAGCUAGUUGGGGAGGUAAUGGCUCACCAAGGCGACGAUCCGUAACUGGUCUGAGAGGAUGAUCAUUCACACUGGCACUGAGACACGGUACAGACUCCUACGGGAGGCAGCAGUGGGGAAUAUUGGACAAUGGGCGAAAGCCUGAUCCAGCCAUGCCGCGUGUGUGAAGAAGGUCUUCGGAUUGUAAAGCACUUUAAGUUGGGAGGAAGGGCAGUAAGUUAAUACCUUGCUGUUUUGACGUUACCGACAGAAUAAGCACCGGCUAACUUCGUGCCAGCAGCCGCCGUAAUAC
rnacentral:rRNA from 1 species